AAUAAGGUCGUUUGUCGCGCGGCACGUGUGCGGCGGCGCUUGCGCUUGUCGCCCGCGGCGUCACCAGGCGUCACGACUCACGAGCCCACACCGUCCCAGCCACUCGUCAUUUCGAUGUAAUAACGAGCAGUCGUGUCGCUACAGGGCUCAUUGUAGUUCACACGAAAGCCCUUAAUAGUGCCUUUUCAAAUGUAGUCCUUUGGUGUUAUUCAGCGCAAAGGCUUUAUAUCUGAACUUCGAGAGGAAAAUCGAUGCAAUCAUCAGUUGCGGUCUAGAUCAGUAUCGACCGUCUCCCACAGUCUACAGCAGUGGUCUAUCCCGAUGGGUUGAGAACGCCGACGUUUUGUGAUAGUGGUCACACCACUCACGCUGUAUUUGUUAGACGAUGAAACGUUACAAGAUAAAACGGAAGAAGAAAUAUGUGUGAUGCCAACAUGGGAAUUUAAAUCUAAAACUAUUCGAAUGAAACCUUUAGUUAAACGGAACGAUGAGCCUAGUCCAGCCGAUUUACCACAAAAUCUCAUUCAAGUCGAUGAUGCUCCUCGUUCGUCUGAAUUACAGCUUGUUGCCCCUUUUUUUUCAUCUGAGGGUCGUUUUCAACCAUGGUUCAAUUGGAUACCCAUUUGUAACCCAAUGGAAACACCUGGACCAGGUGAAUAUUGUACGGAUAAACCUGAAUGUACGCCUGCGGUCGUUAAAGGCCCUCUAUGUAGAGCAGAGCGUUUUCCAGUAGGUAGAUACAAAAGUCCUUCACCGAAUAAGUAUAGGAUUCACGAUGGAAUCGAAACCAUCUUAGCAACACACAAUCUAAGGUUGAAAAAGAAUGUAAACGCUAAUAAUGCUUCAUUUCGUUGGGAACAACCACAAGAACAAAAAAGUUUAAGCUACGAAGAACAAGAAGCUGAGCUAUUAUCUAAAUCUAUUUCUUUAUUAGACCCAGAAGACGACGAACCUCAAAAACCAGUUCAUAUAAUUCCACAACCGGUAGUUGCAGAAAAAGACAAACCAAAAAUGUUACGCACCUUCUUAUAUGCAAGACCUUUACCCAAGUAUAUGUAGAAAAAUCUGGCAUAUCCAUGGUGACUUAUUUUGAUAGUUGUUGUAAAAUGUUACCCGUUACAGCCUCUCGAACUCAUAUCCACGAAAUAAUCAUUAAAAUUUUAUUCACCGCCUUUUUCCUAUUGAGCUGCAGUGCUUGACAAUGUAGUAUUUUAAUGACAUCAAUGAUGUCGAGUUGAUGCUUCAAUGUAAAGUAAAACCCAACAAGUGGCGCCGUAACACUAUAGCAUAGAUUUAGAUUUACAUGAUGACAUGAUUCUUUAUCUAAACACUAUAGGAACGUUACGGUACGAAGCAGUUUACCCAUUCAAAGUUAUGUCUUCAAAAAUAUGUUUAAGGGAUUUUACUCCCAACAUUUUGGAGUAUUAAUACAAAAUUAAGAAUAGUAUUUACAUCCUAUUCACAA